AGACAGAAUGUAUAUGUACUAGUGAAAGUACAUAUACAUAACUGCCUCAAUGACAGUUGAAUGUAAAUAAAAUAUAAAUAAAGAUCUUCGGAACUUUUUCUCGAAUAUUUCAAUUAUUUUAUUUGCUAUCAUCAAAAAACCAAACAGCGGUUUGCUUUUCCUCGAUGCGAUUCUCCUCUCCUUUCGGCUCGGAACAGCCUCCGUCGUCUGGGCAGCAAAGCAGCAUAGUCGUGUUUGCAGACAAAAAUAUUAGUGAAGCGAUCUUGACAAAGGUUUGCACUAUCGCUUUCAGCGACGCACCUCUUCUUUCGGCUCGGAUCAGGUUUCGUUGUCUGGCCACUUCCAAGGAAAUGAAGCGAAGUAUGAUGAAAAUUGAGAAAUGGUCUAGUAUGUGGUGUUGCAGAAACAAAUGCAUCCGGAAGAGCAGUUUGAAAUUUCGGUCCGGAAAUGUACUUCCUCGUCCGAUACUGGAAAAUGCUUUGCAAUUUUCAGAAAGCAUCCGCGACGACCAUCCAUCCGGUGCGGCCAUUUGCUUCCGGUCCAUUAGCAGAACAAGUUCCAAGCACUUGAGGAGCAACAAUAUGUACAAAACUAAAUAAAAAUCAAUUUAAAAUUGA